GUACCGGAUCGCGGCGGCGACCGAACGGAUGUUGGAGCGGUUGCGGCAAUAAACAAAUGCCCGAUUUCCGUUCGGUAAAUAAACGAAACUUUUAUGUGUUUGUUUGUUUUUUUUUUUCGUUAACUAUCCGGAUAAGUACGGGAAUAGUUUUAAACGCCGGUCGUCGCGAGAAAUCGAUUAAACGGUAUAGGGUUUGUGUGUUUCCUUACCGAGUAUAUUACCGCGGGAUUAAUUAACAAUCAAACGAUUCGGCGUGUUUACUUGUGUAUAAAUUAAGUUUUUACGUUUUUUUUAUUUAUUUUUUUUUUUUUUUUUUUUUUUUUUUUAUAUUGUUGUUUCUCGAUAAACUUUGAAACUCUUCGGGCAUUAUACCCGCCUAUAUCGGUCCGUCUACUCACAACGAACGCGGCGUUUCGACUUCGAUCCCAGGGCGUUCGACUCUGUACAGUUUAAAUAAUUGUUAUUAUAUACCGCGUCGAUUAUUAAAUACUCGGGAUGAUUUUUUUUUUUUUUUUUUUUUUUUUUUUACGACGUCUAACGGUAGACACACGCGCGCGGACAAUAAAUUACGACGUCCGAGCGUUUAUGUUAUUCGGACCGUCGGUAUUUUUUAAUCCAAAUCUGUUUUGUUUUUUUUUUUUCCAAUAGGAUAAACGCGCGUUUUUUUCGUUUCCCGUAAAAUCGUCAACCGGGUAUUCGAGUUUUGUGCGAGUACACGUUUCCGCGCCGCUGUUGUUGACGCGCCGAAAACACGCGAACCAUACGCGUCGAUAAAUUAAUCGGCCGACUGAACCGCGAUUAUCGUACCGAGUUGUUGUGUUAUGACGUCUUGGACAUUAUCCGAGAAGACGGGUCGAAAACAGAGCCCGUAACGUCGUUUCGACGGGUGUAGGCAACGGUGUUCCCGUCCUAUAGAAACGUUUCAACAUUUUGUUGGAAAUUAGUUACCGACUGUCAAAUUGUUUCGAUAGUCGAAAUAGUCAAAUUGAAAAAAAAAGAAAAGCAAAUUGUUCGUGAUAGAUGCCCCACAUAAUAUAUUUAUCGUUGCCCGUUUGCCCGUUCAUAUAUCGUCUUACGUCAUUUAAACCGUAAUAUAAUAUUUAUUGUUAAUUC